rnacentral:rRNA from 1 species
UACGGAGGGUGCAACCGUUGCUCGGAAUCAUUGGGCGUAAAGCGCGCGUAGGCGGCGAAGCAAGUUGGAUGUGAAAGCCCUGGGCUCAACCUAGGAUGUGCAUACAAAACUGCUUCGCUUGAAUCUCGGAGGGGGUCAGGGAAUUCCCGGUGUAGAGGUGAAAUUCGUAGAUAUCGGGAGGAACACCAGUGGCGAAGGCGCUGACCUGGACGAUGAUUGACGCUGAGGCGCGAAAGCGUGGGGAGCAAACAGG